UUUUUGGGUUUAAAAGCUCUUAUAAAGUUAUAAAUCGCUGGAGCAAAAGCCAAAUCAUGUGUUUUCCGUGGCUUCUCUUUCAUAGAAUUUUACUGAUUUUUCUUUUUCUUGCGAUGUCUGAUUGCGCCCACUGUUUUGUUUUGCAGGGAUAAUCGAAACUGUUAUUGAUUGAAAUGACGUCUGUUAUUGAUGUUGUUGCUUCUUUUGCUCCAGCUGGUGUGUAUAAUAACAGAAAGAAAUUAGGGCGAGAUUUUUCCAGCAUCAGCAUGUAUAGUUGGGGUUUUCAAAAUCAUUGUUUCUGUACUUCUCAAUCACAAGGUAUCCUCGAAUUUGUUAGCCCUGCAAAUGUUAAUGUGAAUGGGAUGGCAAAUGAAAAGUUAUUUCAAUAGGAUUUCUGAUAAAAUUUCGCACGGAAGAAAUUGGAUGAUGCCCUGUACUGAAAAGAUGUGUUGGUCCUUUUAGCGUGUGAUUAAAAGGGUUUGCAAUCAUCACAUAAUGGAGCUGAAAGUUCCAACGGAGAGGAACUAAUAUGCUACGACUGAAUUUCUUGGCAAGUUCCUUUUGGAUUUUUGGCACCUGUAGCAACACCAACAGUUAUACUUCACACAAGCUACUCGAUCCAUUCAUUUGAAAGGAUAAUGAUUCAUUUUUAAAUAGAAAAUAUAUGCAUUUCUUCAAUGUGAUUUGUGCACACUGUAAUCAGAAUAUUGUGGUCAGUAAACACCUUUCCUCCAGUUUGGUGUAUAAAAAUGUGUGAAUCAGCCAUCUGGUAUAUGGACUUAUUUGUAGUUUAAUUAUAUUUUGCAGUCAAUCUAUUUUAUUUUAAGUUUUAUA